GACGAACGCUGGCGGCGUGCUUAACACAUGCAAGUCGAGCGGUAAGGCCCUUUCGGGGGUACACGAGCGGCGAACGGGUGAGUAACACGUGGGUGACCUGCCCUCAGCUCUGGGAUAAGCCUGGGAAACCGGGUCUAAUACUGGAUAUGACUCCAUGACGCAUGUUGUGGGGUGGAAAGCCUUGUGCGGCUGAGGAUGGGCCCGCGGCCUAUCAGCUUGUUGGUGGGGUGAUGGCCUACCAAGCGACGACGGUAGCCGGCCUGAGAGGGCGACCGGCCACACUGGGACUGAGACACGGCCCAGACU
rnacentral:rRNA from 1 species